rnacentral:rRNA from 1 species
AUUGAACGCUGGCGGCAGGCCUAACACAUGCAAGUCGAGCGGAUGAAGGGAGCUUGCUCCUGGAUUCAGCGGCGGACGGGUGAGUAAUGCCUAGGAAUCUGCCUGGUAGUGGGGGAUAACGUCCGGAAACGGGCGCUAAUACCGCAUACGUCCUGAGGGAGAAAGUGGGGGAUCUUCGGACCUCACGCUAUCAGAUGAGCCUAGGUCGGAUUAGCUAGUUGGUGGGGUAAAGGCCUACCAACGCGACGAUCCGUAACUGGUCUGAGAGGAUGAUCAGUCACACUGGAACUGAGACACGGUCCAGACUCCUACGGGAGGCAGCAGUGGGGAAUAUUGGACAAUGGGCGAAAGCCUGAUCCAGCCAUGCCGCGUGUGUGAAGAAGGUCUUCGGAUUGUAAAGCACUUUAAGUUGGGAGGAAGGGCAGUAAGUUAAUACCUUGCUGUUUUGACGUUACCAACAGAAUAAGCACCGGCUAACUUCGUG